rnacentral:rRNA from 1 species
UACGUAGGGAGCAAGCGUUGUCCGGAAUCAUUGGGCGUAAAGCGCGCGUAGGUGGCCUCAUAAGUCCGCUGUGAAAGUCAAAAGGCUCAACCUUUGAAAGCCGGUGGAUACUGUGAGGCUAGAGUACGGAAGAGGCGAGUGGAAUUCCUGGUGUAGCGGUGGAAUGCGCAGAUAUCAGGAGGAACACCAAUAGCGAAGGCAGCUCGCUGGGACGUUUACUGACACUGAGGCGCGAAAAGCGUGGGGGAGCGAACAGG